CAUUUUAAAAUAUUUUUUCUAAGAUGUGAUGUAGUUCAACAAAGUAAUGCAGUGCAUUUAUUCACUUGUGUUGUUUCCUCCUGGAUAACGCGUUUAUCAAAAGUUAAUUGAUUGACACAGCGGGAUGCCGUGGUCAGCGCUGAUGAAACCGCUCCUUGCUGCAAACUAUUUCCACGUGAUCUAUAUAGGUCAACUUAUCAAGAUUUUGAAAAACCGGGCAGCAUUCUUGAGAGACAAAGAACAGGAUUUAGGGAAUAUUUUACAUCACCCUAUGCGGCUGUUUGCAAAGACUAAAUAUUACAUGUUAUGAGAGGAAUUGGACAGAACGAAGUUUGCUACACACCAUCUUUGAGGGAUUUACCGGGGUAUUAAUUUUUAAAGGUAUAAGAAAACAAAGAAGUCCAAGUGCCAAACAGAUGAUUUCCAAAGGAAGAAGGAUAUAGUGAUUUUUUUUAUUAUUUCAAUUGUGACAAAUCUUCCCUGUUAAGAAGACUGUUAUUGACUGUGUGGAUGUAAAAAAGAGUUCAUGGAUUAUAUUUGUGAAAGAGUUUAAACCAAUUAAAACCAUAGGAAGUACAAUACUUAUUUUGUUGUAAAUUUUUUUUAAUCCUUUAAAACAUGUUAGAAAUGUUCUGAAAACGAUUUUAAAAAUGUUUUGAAAACGUUUUCAAAAAUGUUUUCCAAACAUUGCAGGACAAUGUUUUUGAAAAACGUUAUGAUAACGUUUAAAAAACCAUACAAAAUAACGUUGUAAUAACGUUUUAGAAAAUGUUUUUAUAACAUUUUGAAAACGUUUUGAUAACGUUUUAAUAACGUUGUUGUGCUA